rnacentral:rRNA from 1 species
CGAACAGACGAGGAGCUUGCUCCUCUGACGUUAGCGGCGGACGGGUGAGUAACACGUGGAUAACCUACCUAUAAGACUGGGAUAACUUCGGGAAACCGGAGCUAAUACCGGAUAAUAUAUUGAACCGCAUGGUUCAAUAGUGAAAGACGGUUUUGCUGUCACUUAUAGAUGGAUCCGCGCCGCAUUAGCUAGUUGGUAAGGUAACGGCUUACCAAGGCAACGAUGCGUAGCCGACCUGAGAGGGUGAUCGGCCACACUGGAACUGAGACACGGUCCAGACUCCUACGGGAGGCAGCAGUAGGGAAUCUUCCGCAAUGGGCGAAAGCCUGACGGAGCAACGCCGCGUGAGUGAUGAAGGUCUUCGGAUCGUAAAACUCUGUUAUUAGGGAAGAACAAAUGUGUAAGUAACUAUGCACGUCUUGACGGUACCUAAUCAGAAAGCCACGGCUAACUACGUGCCAGCAGCCGCGGUAAUACGUAGGUGGCAAGCGUUAUCCGGAAUUAUUGGGCGUAAAGCGCGCGUAAGCGGUUUUUUAAGUCUGAUGUGAAAGCCCACGGCUCAACCGUGGAGGGUCAUUGGAAACUGGAAAACUUGAGUGCAGAAGAGGAAAGUGGAAUUCCAUGUGUAGCGGUGAAAUGCGCAGAGAUAUGGAGGAACACCAGUGGCGAAGGCGACUUUCUGGUCUGUAACUGACGCUGAUGUGCGAAAGCGUGGGGAUCAAACAGG